rnacentral:tRNA from 1 species
ACUUGGAUAGCUCAGUCGGUAGAGCAAGGAACCGAAAAUCCUUGUGCCGCUGCUUCCGUUCCGGCUCCACGCACCA